UACGGGGGGGGCAAGCGUUGUUCGGAAUUACUGGGCGUAAAGGGCUCGUAGGCGGCCAACUAAGUCCGACGUGAAAUCCCCAGGCUUAACCUGGGAACUGCGUCGGAUACUGGAUGGCUUGAAUCCGGGAGAGGGAUGCGGAAUUCCAGGUGUAGCGGUGAAAUGCGUAGAUAUCAUUUGGAACGCCAAUGGUGAAAACAGGUAGCUGGGGCUGUGCUGACGCUGAGACACGAAAGCCAGGGGAGCAAACGGG
rnacentral:rRNA from 1 species